rnacentral:lncRNA from 1 species
AGUGCAAAAUAUACAAAGAUAAGAACAGUCAUGUGCAUAAAUAACUACAAAACCAGGCUGACUUUGAUAGACUCAUCAAGUGCUUAGGCCAGGAAACUUACAGAAGGGAAGGAGUAGUUCUAAAUGCCAGCUCCUUUUCAAAAAGCAGUCCCUCAGUGAGCUCAUCUGCUCUCAGGAAUUCAUCCAUUGCUGCUGUGCGGAUGCUUCAAAGUCUAACCACAUGAACCAUCAGUUACCAGCCAUCUACUACCUGAUGAAAGGGAGCAAAAGCGAACACAGGGUGAUUGCUCUUAUGUGUGUCUUCAGAACAAUAAGUUCAAAGAUAAAAAUUUUAUCUUUCUGAC